GGGGCUGUGGCGGAACUGGCAGACGCGCCGGAUUUAGGUUCCGGUCUCUCACGAGGUGCAGGUUCGAGUCCUGUCAGCCCCA
rnacentral:tRNA from 1 species